AAGGGUGAAAUCAUUUAUUGAUAUUUCAUUUACAAUGAAAUUGGGUGUUUAAAAUACACCACUCUUA
rnacentral:tRNA from 1 species